rnacentral:rRNA from 1 species
UGGGGAAUUUUGCGCAAUGGGGGAAACCCUGACGCAGCAACGCCGCGUGCGGGACGAAGGCCUUCGGGUUGUAAACCGCUUUCAGCAGGGACGAAUUCCGACGGUACCUGCAGAAGAAGCCCCGGCUAACUACGUGCCAGCAGCCGCGGUAAUACGUAGGGGGCGAGCGUUAUCCGGAUUCAUUGGGCGUAAAGCGCGCGUAGGCGGCGCGUCAAGCGGGACCUCUAACCCCGGGGCUCAACCCCGGGCCGGGUCCCGGACUGGCGCGCUCGAGUGCGGUAGAGGCGAGUGGAAUUCCCGGUG